ACCCCCACCCCCACCCCCUCCACCCCCCACCCCGGCCUGGAGGCCAGGAAUCCAAAGUUAAGGGGUCAGCAAGGCUGUGCUCUUGCCGAAGGCUCUAGGGGACGCUUCUUCCUGCCUCUUCCAGCUUCCUGUGUUGCCUCCACGUUCUCUGGCCCUGCCUCAGUGGUCCGCGUGCCCCCCCAAAGCAGACGUCAUCAUUUCAGAGGAAAACGAGCAAUAACGAUGAAAACGCACGGGCGCCGUCUGAGCAGUCGCGUUUGCGCGUUAUUUCAGAACAGAUCGGCCUUGGGCCGGCACUCUUGAAGGACUAAUUUUUUUCAGGCGGGUGUUUGCUGGGAAGGGGAGUAUAAGAAUCUUGACUCACGGUGCCUUUAUUUUCUCAGAAAAGACGGAGGGGCCGUCGUUUCGACUUCCUUCCGCCAGGACCACAGGCGUGAGGAAACAUCGUGGAUGACAGGCGGGUUUGAGUUGUUAUCCUGCCACAGACUCGGGGCAGGUCACUUAACCAUUCUUAACCUCAACGUUAACCGUGUAAAGUGGGGCCACCAGCCUGACUAGCGGGACUGAAACUACCACCAGAGGCCCCUUGCAGUUCUUCAGAUGAAAAGCCUCUUCGUUCCAGGACCACAUUGCCUGAAUUUUUAUAAAAACUGGUGAAAACAAGGUAGCAUUGGUUGAAAACUUGUUGGGACAACAUACCAACAAAUUGCUUUGUUUUCUUAAACCCUAGCUCCUCUGGUCUCGCUUCGCACUUGGUCCUUGUGCUGCCUACACGGGGAUCCAUGGGGGUGAGGCUGCCAUUGGCCUUGACCUUGGGCUUCAAAGACCAACCUUGCAAUUAUUAUAGAACCCGUGAUUAUGGAAGAGAACUCAGGAAACACAAAUGAAUAUAAGGAAGAGAAUUAAGUUCAGCUAUGAUGCCACAAUGCAAAGGGAGUCAUUUGAAAAAGUUCUCCCCUUGUCUUUCUCCUCUGCUCCGUAACACGGCCAUUUUCAGCGCUGGUUACAAAAUGCCAUCUGAGUGGUUUUGAAAAACUAUCACUCAAGGCUGGAUCAGUUAUAGCAAAUCCGUGGCAGCCUCAGACAUGAGCUUUUUAAGAAAGCUCCCCAACCAUCUCCCCACUGAUGUAAAGCUUUGGGUUUUCGGGUUCCAAUUUUUGUUCACACUCUUCCUACACAUCCAGUUCCUUCUAGAAGAUAAACAAUUUCAAAGAAACGACAAAGCUGAAGGACUAUCUCAGCAAACGUGUGCUCAUCAGCUGGAAUCUCCCGUUAACAUCUUACCACGUCCGUUCUGCCAUCGAUCCACUUAUCCGUCCCUCUGUCCGUCCACUGAGCCAUUUGACCCAUUUCAAUAAGCUGCUGGCAUCUG